rnacentral:lncRNA from 1 species
CUUUAGCAAAAUGAUUUUGUUUUUCAUUCCUUUUCCUCUUUUUGUUUUCUGUUUCAAUCUUCUAAGCUACUUGAAACUUAAGUGCUCCUGGUCAGUUAUUCAAUUUAAAUGUGAAUUCAAUGGUAUUAUAUUAUGAUUAUUUCAUGCUAUUUUACUGUUCCCUUCUCAACAAGCUUCGUUUUUACACUUCCUUUAAUGUUGAUGAAGAUUAGAUUGAUUAUGAAACUUCUUUGUUUAUCUAUGUGUUUAUGAUGAACUUUGCAGAUUUCUUGAUGGUCACUUUAGAUUCCAUUUUAUGUUCUCUUGUUUAUGUUUAUAUUUUGGCUUUAUGCUAAUACUUUAAACUUGGCUUGAGCCAAUGAUGACUUAUGCAUUAUAAACAUGAUGGUGGAUUUGUGGUGGCAUGUCCCUGGUCCUCGAUUAACUUUGCUCUUAUGUUUCAAUGCAACCAGAUCAUCCACAGUCCGAUAGUCUUUUAGGUACACUACUUUGAAUUUACUGACCACAACUUUAUACUUAACUUAGGGUGUGUUUACCAUUGCUUUUGGCUGUUCAAAAUUACCUUUUUAUGACAAAAGUGAUGCUAAAUAAAGGGCUUUUGUGAUCCAAAGCACUUAUAGAAAGUGCUUUUGGAACCAACUAAAGAAGCUGGCUGCUAGGUGCUUUUCAAAAGCAUUUUUCAACUGCAAGAGGAAUGCUAAACUAGCUCUUAAUCACGUGAAUUUACUUUAAGUCUUGGAAGUUUGCAUGCUUCUACUACUGAGUGUUCGUUUGCUUAACACCAUGAGACCUCUCAAGUUAGUUAACAAAGGGUUGGGUGAAGGUCCUAAUUUUAACCAUAUGUAUGCAGUGUGGCCAAAAGGGAAUCUUAUAUUUGUAGUUUUAGGGAAUUGUUUGAUAUUGUACAUUAAUGUUAAUACAAUGAUCUUUAUGUUUCCAUUAUCUUUAUGUUUCCAUUACAGGAGACCUAGCACGGAGGAGGAAAUUCUUACUAUUCAGAUUAAGCCAGGGUGGAAAAAAGGUACAAAAAUAACAUUUCCAGAAAAGGGAAACGAGCAACGAGGGGUUAUUCCUUCUGAUCUUGUCUUCAUCAUCGAUGAGAAACCUCACAGUGUGUUCAAGAGGGAUGGCAAUGAUCUUAUUUUAACUCAGAAGAUAUCUCUAGUGGAAGCUCUAACUGGUUAUACAGCACAGCUGACAGCGCUGGAUGGACGGACCCUCACAGUCCCUAUUAACAACAUCAUCAAUCCAACCUAUGAAGAAGUUGUUAAAGGUGAAGGAAUGCCCAUUCCCAAGGAGCCUUCAAAGAAAGGAAAUUUAAGAAUUAAAUUCAACAUCAAGUUCCCUACCAAGCUUACAACUGAACAGAAAACUGGUCUGAAGCGGUUAAUAUCAUCUCCCUAAGAUUCAGUUGUUGCCCUUGAUCUCUAUUGUCAGCCUACUCAUGUAAGUUUGCAUUUGUGUUGCUGAACCGUGAUUGCAUGAGAGUUAUCUAGGACUAGGAGUUUGUAAAUUAUUUAUCCAUUUUCUGCGCUUGUUGAAAUACUUCUUAACUUUGAGGUAACUGGUCAAAGCUUAUAGUUAAGCUUAAGCCCCUUUCUUAGUUCGGCUUGAAUCUCCAUUAUUUCACUGUACGCAAGUCUGAAGUCUUUCAGUCCUGGUCUUGUUGCAUUCUUAAUGCAUGCGAUGCAGGUAAAUUUGGAGAAGUGUGUGGGGGUGUCCCCUUGGUUUCAGUGUAUAGAAUGAGAACAAUUGAUGCAUAUGUCAUGGUGCUGCAGUUUGCAAAAUGCAGGACAAUCAUUUGGAUUACAAAAAUCAAUCAGAUUGCUGUAAAUUCAUUCAUUAAGUUCAUGUCUCCAAAACUUUUAGGAAUUUAUGGAUCCUAUAACUACAAAAAAAGGUUUUAAAUUUAUUAUUCAGUGGUUGAAAUCUUGUAAGUAGAGGUCAUGAAAAGAAGAAUUAUUAUCUCAUUUUGUAUUUUAUAUUUUCCUCGUUUCUUUGUUUUUACGAAAGUUUUAUUUAGUUUUAUAAUAUGUUAUUAACGCGAGUUCACUUAAAUAUUAUGCUUAAUAUAUAUAUAUAUUGCAGCAAAUACCCUAUUGAACUAGUGAAACCCAAACCAUCCGAUUCUUAGGUGUGGAAAAGCAUUCUCACCGAUAGGGGUAUCUGUAACAAGGGUAAAGAUAUUUAACUAUGGAGCGGUCAAAAUAGAUGGAUCUUAGCGAACCUGCUCAAAUCGCUGAUUGACACAAUUGCCCAUCAAGAAUUUGACCCACAGGCAAAUUGUUUUAUUAAUCCCUACAAAUUCAUUGUUGAUCAAUCAAAAGCCUUACAACUACUCUGCCUUGAUAGAGCUAUUGAUCUAAUCACUAGAGUUUUUUCUAUCCAAGGUGGGCAAGAAAAAAUUGUUUGGAAAAAUGACUUUAAAGGCUUCUUCUCGGUCAAAAGCGCUUAGUCUCAAUUUUACAAAUAAUAGCACGGUGUUACUCUUAAAAGUAAACAACAAUCUGCAUUAAAAAAUCUCUGACGAUUAAAGAUACCUUUUAAUAUCAUCAUCUUCCUGUGGAAAAUUUGUAAAAACAACCUUCCUACUUGACAGGAGACUAUCAACUAAUGAUGCCAUUUACCCUCUCUGCAAAGUUGACAGAGAAACUACGGAUUCUCAAUUGGUUACGUGCAAAUAAUAUAUCAGAGGAAUCCCCAAGGAAAAUUUACACUACCAUGGCAUGCACCCUUUGGACCAUCUAGAAAGCAAGGAAUUAACCUUAUUUUCAAGAACUUCCACCUAUCACUUUUGGCGGCAAACAAAAUUAUCUCUGAGGUGACUCAGGCAAUCUUUAGCUCAUUCUCAAGCAGUACUCCACCUACUCAAAAUCAAAGAAUGUUACCUCUCCCUCAAGCGGUCCUCUCCACUACCACAACAAUGGCUUCUUUCAUUCUACGUCAUUCAGAACAAACAAAACAAACUAAUUGGAGGAGCUGCAUGGCCUAGGACUUAACAGUUUUCAACUGUCAAAAGUCUGUUGGUAAUGUAAAAAUUUGACACUACAAUAUGACCAUUGGAAUCUGACGUUAUAAUAUGGUCAUUGCAAUAUGGUCGUUGAAUUUUUUUAAACCAUUUUACCCUUUUGAAAAUCCCAUAAAUAGGAGUUUGUUUCUCCUCAUUUUACAUAGCAACAAAAUUAGAGUUUCUCUCAUUCUUUUCGAUUCUCUCAUCUUUUUUUUCUCUAAAAUUUUGUCAUCUUAAUAGAAUUACAUUAGAGGAAAUUUUGUCUAGGAGGUUUAAUUUUAAGCGGAAAUGUCUGUGACCCCUCCAACCUUUCCUGUGAAUUGAACCUAGUGUAAUUUUUCUGGCAAAGUUUUUCCGGCAUUUCUCGAUUCCUCAGAGAAGAGCAAUACCAAUUUUGUUCCACCUUCCUUAUUCAGGUGUACGAAUAUUGAAGUUCUGUAUUAACCUUCGGGGGCAAUUGUUGGGAAAUGUGCCCAUAUUGUAGUAAACAUAUAAUUAUUUUCUAUGUAUUUGAACAAUAAAUAAAUAAAUAAGGUUAAUUUCACAUUUCACUCUUAUGUAUUUUUUUGUUUCUGUUUUUCAUGUUUUGCAUGCAUAGCGAAAUUGUGAUAAGCAAAUAUUAGCUCAUUAAUUGUCUUUGUCAAAUUGAUGAUAAGUGACAUUGUAAGAACGUUUACAUUGCGAGAAAGAUAACUUACUUUAGUAGAUAAUCUAAACGAGUUCGUAAUCCCAUAAAAGAAUCAAAGUGAACAUUUGAUUCAAAUACUUAGAAGAAUUAUUAUGUUGUUUACAAUUCCAAUUGGAGAGAUGACUAAUCUUGACUAUCGGAGCAGUUGACUCCACGGGUAAAGACAGAUGUAUUCAUUGGAAGAAUGAUACAUUAGACUAGACCCAAGAUGAAUUAAUUUUGAAUCUAUUUGUAAAUUAAUUCACUUGUGACGUUCAUGGUGUGAUUUACCUAAAUACUGAGUUAGUCACUGACCAUGCAUAUGUAACUCAUGUGUUUUAAUAUAAGUGAAGGCUUAUGCUCUAAAAAUGAUCGAACCCAUAGCCGCUAUGUUGGGUAUAUGACUUGUAUAUGACAUGACUUUACUAGCAACAAUGGAAUUCUUAGCUUGACUAAAGAGUUAACGGUAUUCUCUAAUUGACAUUGUGUGGAUUGAUAAAUAUGGAACGUGACCAUGGGUUUCUUGUUCUCGAACGAGUAAUUUAUCACUGUCACUUGUUGACAAUGAUCAUGUUAAUCAUUUAGAAGACACAAUGGUGACAAUGAGAUAAAAUAUGAUUGUAUUGAGUGAACAGAUGUAACUCAAAGGAAUCAAGUAUAUCAUGUUGGAUAAAUUGCUUUCGUAAAGAGUAUAUAAUAAGGAGUUUUCAAUCAUGGUACUUCUUGUGGACUAACUCCAUGAUUAAGUAAAUUGUGAAUUAUCGGAAUGAUGCUUCUAGACAUAAUUACAAUUACUAGAGUCUAAUUGUAUAUGCCUGAUUGGUCCCUCCGCUAGCUUAACAAAAGCUCGAUUGGACUAUAUUUGAAUCAAAAGAAAAUUCUACGACUUUGGAAAUAAUUUAAUUGAGUCGAUUUAUUCGAUGAGGAAUUAAAUUAGAUAGUCGUGAGAAUUGUUCAACUAGAGAAUUUGAUUAAAAAAUUUUCUUAAAAAAUUUAUUUUGAAAAAAUUCAAUGAUUUUUGGGAAGAUUAAUCUCGAUCAAGAAAAAUUAAAUUAAUAAAAUUAAUAAAAAUAAAUAUGAUAUUUUUAGAACUUAAUUUUUAAGUCAAACAAUUGACACAAUGGGUAAUUAAACUGGAAAAUUAGACUUGAGAUCGAAAAUUGGACCCGUGAAUCCAAAAUUAUGACCAAGACCUAAAAACUGGUUGAAUCAGGCCUGGUAUGUUAAACCGGGCCAACGGUCCAAUCGGUGGCUGGAACAAACCGGUUGGGCCAUCACUAGGCCUAGACCGAAUCAGCAAUAGCCGAACCGAUUCGAGGUCCCGUAAGAGUGUCGCACUUGUGAUGGCACCACAUAACAUGACGGCACCGGCUGCAGCGACGACAACAUUCUGGUGGCCAAUGAAUGGUCCUUCAGCGGUUGAGCAGUGGAGGAAUCACACUCCUAUUGGGACUCUACCAGAUAAUUUAAUUUCAGAUUAACUAUUCCAAAAAUAAUACUAUUUUAAUUAUUAUAAUAUUAAAUUUAAUUUAAUACUUAUUUUAAUUGUAUUUUAUUAAUUUAAUAUUAAAGUGAUUAUCUUAGUAUUAAAUUAAAUUAAUAUUUAUUUAAAAGAUAAAUAUUCUAUUAAUUUAAUAUAUUUAAUAUUAAAUUUAAUCUAAUAUUUACCUUGAUAAAUAUUAUAUUAAUUUAAUUUUAAAGUGAUUAAGUUUAAUUAUAGUUGAACUCUCUAAACUCUCUAAACUCUCUCUAUAUAAAGAGAGCCUUAGGCCAUUAUUGUUCACACACUUGAAUUCAAGAGAAAGUUUUAGGGAGAAAAUUCUUUAAAGAAAUUAUUUUAGAAAAUUUCUAGAGAUACUUUUCUUAUUUAUAACUUGGCUUAGAAGUUUAGAGAAAUUACGAAAUUACCCUACUGGUAAUUUUGUGGAAAAUUUUCUAAUUCGAAGCGAGCCCACACUCAGUAGACAUGAGCUUGAGGAUAGCAGAAAAGACUACUUGGUCGAAGCAUUCAUCUCAAAUGAAUCGAAAAGGUACAAAUUUGAUUAAGUGUUUAUUACUUUAGAUAUCAUAACCAAGUUCUUAUUUUUUGGAAAAAAAUUUAAAACUUUGGUUUAUCCCUUAAACUUAUUUUCCGUUGAGUUUUCCAAACCUGAUUUUCCAACAGCAACGUCCACUAUACGAUUACACCAAUCAAGAUGAAUUUGCUUCUAAAUCAAUGGUUCUUCCACGAUAAAGUGAUUCUUUCUUUUAUUUAUGCUUGGUUUAUUUUCCAGUCAGCGUUAAUAAUUUUGUUUUGCAGUCGUAUUUUUCCAACAAUUUAGAAACAUAUUUACUACUGUUUAAACAUGAAAAUUGUUUCUAUUUCCUGCUGCUGAAACUAAUGAAGACUCCUACAAACAACAAGCUAGAGUGUACACUUGAGGAUCGUUGGAGCAAGUGAAGUGUCCUAUUAAGGAAAUCAAUUUGAAGGAACCUAAGUAAUGCAAGAGUGUGCCUAAGUAGCCUUGGAACGGUUGCAAGCUCCAUCUGUGUUGGCCACUGGGCCAUUAUCAAGAUGGACUUGGAAGGCCUAAUGAAAUUGAGCCGAGAUGGGUUGGAGGUCCCUUGAGUUUGAGUUGGUCAGAUGACUAUGAGCGGAUUGUUGGAUCCUUAUGUUUGGGAUAGGGUUUACAAUGCCCUUAUCCAUGAUAAGCUAUUGAUACAUGAGAUUUGUGGAGCUAGUUUAAGCGUCACUGAGUUUUUAACCAAAGUAGACUAGAGGAUUAUCGAGUCUGAGAAUUUGAAUAGGAGAACUAGUGGGGGGAUGUCUUCUUCAGACAACCUAUGAGAUUGUGUGGAGAAAAGAGCAAAGUGCCAAAGUUUGUGUGAAUGAGCAUUAAAGCCCAAAAUUGAGAUUGAAAUCAACCUAGUUUGAUGGUGCCACGUGUUACAGUUGGCCAAGAUGGCCACACCCAAUGGGG